CAGAGACUGCAAGCGUUAUUCGGAUUCACUGGGCGUAAAGGGUGCGCAGGCGGCCGAGUGUGUGAGGCGUGAAAGCCCGGGGGCUUAACCCCGGAAUUGCACCUCAAACUACACGGCUAGAGCAUUGGAGAGGGUAGCAGAAUUCAUGGUGUAGCAGUGAAAUGCGUAGAUAUCAUGAGGAAUACCAGAGGCGAAGGCGGCUACCUGGACAAUUGCUGACGCUCAGGCACGAAAGCGUGGGGAGCAAAAGGGAUUAGAUACCCCUGUAGUCCACGCCCUAAACGGUGCACACUAGGUCUUGGCGGAUUCGACCCCCCCAGGGCCCAAGCUAACGCGUUAAGUGUGCCGCCUGAGGACUACGGCCGCAAGGCUA
rnacentral:rRNA from 1 species